rnacentral:rRNA from 1 species
UACAGAGGUCCCAAGCGUUGUUCGGAUUCAUUGGGCGUAAAGGGUGCGUAGGUGGCAUGGUAAGUCGGGUGUGAAAUCCCGGGGCUCAACCCCGGAACUGCACUCGAUACUGCCGUGCUCGAGUACUGGAGAGGAGACUGGAAUUUACGGUGUAGCAGUGAAAUGCGUAGAUAUCGUAAGGAAGACCGGUGGCGAAGGCGGCCUUCUGGACAGUGACUGACGCUGAGACGCGAAAGCGUGGGGAGCAAACAGG